rnacentral:rRNA from 1 species
ACUGUGUGCAAAGGCAUAAGCGUGCUUGACUGCGAGAUCGACGGAUCAAGCAGGUACGAAAGUAGGUCUUAGUGAUCCGGUGGUUCUGUAUGGAAGGGCCAUCGCUCAACGGAUAAAAGGUACUCCGGGGAUAACAGGCUGAUACCGCCCAAGAGUUCAUAUCGACGGCGGUGUUUGGCACCUCGAUGUCGGCUCAUCACAUCCUGGGGCUGUAGCCGGUCCCAAGGGUAUGGCUGUUCGCCAUUUAAAGUGGUACGCGAGCUGGGUUCAGAACGUCGUGAGACAGUUCGGUCCCUAUCUGUCGUGGGCGUUGGAGAUUUGAGGGGGGCUGCUCCUAGUACGAGAGGACCGGAGUGGACGUUCCGCUGGUGUUCGGGUUGUCUCGCCAGAGGCAUUGCCCGGUAGCUAUGAACGGAAGUGAUAACCGCUGAAAGCAUCUAAGCGGGAAGCACGCCCCAAGAUGAGAUCUCCCGAGAGCUUGACUCUCCU